GCACAUGUGCUGUGCAGUGACAUAUUACCGUGUUGAUAGAUAUUGUGUGCGUUUAUUGUGUGCUUAUCGUACUUCACAUUCGUCGACUGGAUAUUUUGCGCGUUUCGGAACGUCCUCCCGCAUUGAUCAAGUGGGGGAUGAUGCAUCGUCGUUCGUCGCCACUCAGAACAGCCUCAUCGGACGCGCUGCUUUGUCUCCGCGCUCAAAAGUGCUUUCUUGCUUCGUUUAUCGAUUACCCACGUUAAUCGCGUGAUUCAAUAUCGAGUGUACCUCCAAAGACAAUCCACUUCCCAGUGUUGUGACAAGCGGCGACCGCGGUUGUACAGGAGCGGAAGCGUGAGCCUUUUGACGAGCGACUGUGAAGAAUGCAAAGCCAGUGCCAAACUUCGGAACCGAUAGCCCGGGCGGCGUGUUGGCACAGCGAGGAUGAGAACGAGAGACCCGAUAGACAGCGAUGACAGCUGUUCACGGCACCGACACAGAGGACAUAUUGCAGUGCAAGAUAGGAGCGGUCUUCCUGCAAGCCCAGACAAGCCAUAUUGAGUGGUUUCAAAUACAGCAACUGUACCACCACGACAGUGCAGCACAAGAGACCCUAUCGUCAGUGCUGAGCCAGAAAUUAAAUAGAAAAGCGCUUUCUCCUGAAAUCUUUCGUCUGGUUUUAUUUCGUUUGUUUGU